CUCCGGUUGAUGAGUCGUAAAUAGGACGAAACGCACUUCCAGGAU
rnacentral:hammerhead_ribozyme from 1 species